rnacentral:rRNA from 1 species
GAUGAACGCUAGCGGCAGGCUUAACACAUGCAAGUCGAGGGGUAUAGUUCUUCGGAACUAGAGACCGGCGCACGGGUGCGUAACGCGUAUGCAAUCUACCUUUUACAGGGGGAUAGCCUAGAGAAAUUUGGAUUAAUACCCCAUAUUAUGUUAGAGUGGCAUCAUUUUAACAUUAAAGUUCCAACGGUAAAAGAUGAGCAUGCGUCCCAUUAGCUAGAUGGUAAGGUAACGGCUUACCAUGGCGAAGAUGGGUAGGGGUCCUGAGAGGGAGAUCCCCCACACUGGUACUGAGACACGGACCAGACUCCUACGGGAGGCAGCAGUGAGGAAUAUUGGACAAUGGGCGCAAGCCUGAUCCAGCCAUGCCGCGUGCAGGAAGACGGUCCUAUGGAUUGUAAACUGCUUUUGUACAGGAAGAAACACUCCCUCGUGAGGGAGCUUGACGGUACUGUAAGAAUAAGGAUCGGCUAACUCCGUGCCAGCAGCCGCCGCAGUAA